UACGUAGGGUGCUAGCGUUGUCCGGAAUUAUUGGGCGUAAAGGGCUCGUAGGCGGUUUGUCGCGUCGGGAGUGAAAUCCACUGGCUUAACUGGUGGCUUGCUUUCGAUACGGGCAGACUGGAGGUAUGCAGGGGAGAACGGAAUUCCUGGUGUAGCGGUGAAAUGCGCAGAUAUCAGGAAGAACACCCGUGGCUAAGGCGGCUCUCUAGUACGGUACUGACGCUGAGACGCGAAAGCGUGGGGAGCGAACAGG
rnacentral:rRNA from 1 species